CCUUCGUAACAAGGAGUCAGAGUUCUGCCCUCAGCACGUCCAGGAGCGGCCAGUCGCAGAGUGCGAGCCGAACCAGGGACCGAGCCGCCAGCGUCAAAAUAAAGACUGAUAUUAUUUUUGUACUCACUUGUUUUCGGGUAUUUCUUGGGUCCUCCUAAAUUCAUCACA